AUAUUUUGAACCGCAUGGUUCAAAAGUGAAAGACGGUCUUGCUGUCACUUAUAGAUGGAUCCGCGCUGCAUUAGCUAGUUGGUAAGGUAACGGCUUACCAAGGCAACGAUGCAUAGCCGACCUGAGAGGGUGAUCGGCCACACUGGAACUGAGACACGGUCCAGACUCCUACGGGAGGCAGCAGUAGGGAAUCUUCCGCAAUGGGCGAAAGCCUGACGGAGCAACGCCGCGUGAGUGAUGAAGGUCUUCGGAUCGUAAAACUCUGUUAUUAGGGAAGAACAUAUUUGUAAGUAACUGUGCACAUCUUGACGGUACCUAAUCAGAAAGCCACGGCUAACUACGUGCCAGCAGCCGCGGUAAUACGUAGGUGGCAAGCGUUAUCCGGAAUUAUUGGGCGUAAAGCGCGCGUAGGCGGUUUCUUAAGUCUGAUGUGAAAGCCCACGGCUCAACCGUGGAGGGUCAUUGGAAACUGGAAAACUUGAGUGCAGAAGAGGAAAGUGGAAUUCCAUGUGUAGCGGUGAAAUGCGCAGAGAUAUGGAGGAACACCAGUGGCGAAGGCGGCUUUCUGGUCUGUAACUGACGCUGAUGUGCGAAAGCGUGGGGAUCAAACAGGAUUAGAUACCCUGGUAGUCCACGCCGUAAACGAUGAGUGCUAAGUGUUAGGGGGUUUCCGCCCCUUAGUGCUGCAGCUAACGCAUUAAGCACUCCGCCUGGGGAGUACGACCGCAAG
rnacentral:rRNA from 1 species